AUCAAACAAAAGAUGAAAAAUCAGCAAGAUACAGGUGCUUAGCUGGAGAGUGAUUAAAAUAUGUAGAACUUACAAAGAUAAAUAUGAAAUAGUUAAUGGAACAACCAGAGACAUUUUCUCAGAAUUGUGUAGGUAUGAGACUUCAAGAUAAAGGGGAUAAGAAGAUGACUGACCCAAGACGGACUUCCAAACUCCAAGAUGAUGACUGGACGAACAAGAGAAGAAUUGAUGAGGAUGUUACAGAAUCACAGACUGGUUGAGGUUGGAUGGGACCUCUGGAGGUAUCUGGUCCAACCACUCUGCUCAAGCAGGGCCAC